AUGGCUACGUUCGCCGCCGCAACUGUGGCUCUUCCAGGGCGUGUCGCCGGAACCCGGCGGUGUGUGAUGGCGCCGGCGUCUGCGGCUCCGGCGGCGCCGGGGAGGACGCACUACGAAGUGCUCGGGGUGGGCGCGGCUGCCAGCAGGGGAGAGAUCAAGGCGGCCUACCGGCGUCUGGCAAGGGAGGUGCACCCGGAUGCUGCUGGUGACGGCGGCGACGAGGGCUUCAUCCGGCUGCACGCGGCCUACGCCACGCUGGCCGACCCCGACGAGCGCGCGCGCUAUGACCGGGACGUGGCCGGCCGCGCCGCGGCCAUGAUGACGCGGAGGGCGGCGGCAAGCGGGCCAGCGUUCCGGCGAAGGACGUGGGAGACGGACCAGUGCUGGUAG
rnacentral:rRNA from 1 species